rnacentral:rRNA from 1 species
UACGUAGGGACCGAGCGUUGUCCGGAAUUACUGGGCGUAAAGCGCACGUAGGCGGCUUUGUAAGUUAGAGGUGAAAGCCCGGGGCUCAACCCCGGAAUUGCCUUUAAGACUGCAUCGCUUGAAUCCGGGAGAGGUGAGUGGAAUUCCGAGUGUAGAGGUGAAAUUCGUAGAUAUUCGGAAGAACACCAGUGGCGAAGGCGGCUCACUGGACCGGUAUUGACGCUGAGGUGCGAAAGCGUGGGGAGCAAACAGG